rnacentral:lncRNA from 1 species
AGAGCUAGUCGGCAGGGUUUUUGUUUUUUGUCUUUUUAGGGCACAUGGAAGUUCCCAGGCUAGGGGUCACAUUGGAGCUGUAUCCGCUGGCCUACACCAGAGCAAAACCAGAUCCCAGCUGUAUCUGCAACCUACACCACAGCUCAUGGCAACGCCGGAUCCUUAACCUACUGAGGGAGGCCAGGGAUGGAACCUGUGUCCCCAUGGAUACUAGUUGGGUUCCUUACGGCUGAGCCACCACAGGAACAGUUUCAUAGUCUGCAGUUGUGAAUGAGGGUUCAUUGGAGAGAGACAGUCAAGCCUGCUGCUGAGGCGGCCUGUGGAGAAGGGCAGCAAUGGCAGAGUGCCAAGAACCUUGAGGUCCUCACAGAGGUUUCUGUGGCUCAGGUGGUUUUUUUUGGUCUUUUUGUCUUUUUAAGGCCACACCCACGGCAUAUGGAGGUUCCCAGGCUAGGGAUCUAAUCGGAACUGUAGCCACCGGCCUACACCACAGCCACAGAAAAUGGGAUCCCAGCUGCGUCUGCGACCUACACCACCACUCAUGGUGACACCGGGUCCUGAGCAAGGACCCACUGAGUGAGGCCAGGGAUCGGACCCUCGUCCUCAUGGAUGCUAGUCGGGUUUGUCAACUGCUGAGCCACGAUGGGAACUCCUGUGGCUGAGUUUUAAAGCAAGAAACAGGGCCAGAGGGAAGACCUUCAGGUGAGGGCUUGGUGCCCUCUGGCACCAGGACACUUUGGUGUUUUGGGGCAGGCCUGGGACGGAUUAAGAUGCUGGAUGCAUUUGCUGUGCACUGCCUGGGUUCCACGUGCAGGGUGGAGAAAUGCACUGCUGUGGUCUGGGAGUUUGGCCAGAGUCAUGAAGGAAAUGGGUCCACAGAGUGAUGUGCAGGUGAGGGGUGAGCGUGGUUGACCCCGGCCUGUGGCACUUACUGUGGAAUGAAGUGACUGAGUCUGCUUGUCUGGGAGGUACCUUCUGGGGAUCUCUGGGAAGUCACCUGACAGGAGAGGGGUGGAGUCCACGUCUCAGGCCAGAGCCUGGGUGGUGCUUUUCUGCCCCCUCCUUUGCCUUUGUAAACUCUGGAUACCAGACCCAGUGAUCAGUGGCAGUGAGAGAACAGGCACCGUUGCCACCAGGACCUGGUAACUCUUCCUGAUGGGGAAGCUGGGGGGAGGAGGCCCGGAUGUGUGGGAGAAAGUUAUACAACCAUUGUACCUGCCAGAUUUUCAUUUAUGGACAUAUACAUGAGUAAAUGACAACAUGGAGAGGCCAAUAUCGUUGAAAGAUGUUUUCUUUUUUUUUUUUUAAUUUGUUUCUUGUCUUUUUUGUCUUUUUUUAGGGCCGCACCUGUGGCACAUGGAGGUUCCUAGGCUGGGGUCUAAUCGGAGCUGUAGCCGCUGGCCUACACCAGAGCCACAGCAAUGAGGGAUCCGAGCCACGUCUGCGACCUACACCAGAGCUCAUGGUAACACCGGAUCCUUAACCCACUGCGUGAGGCCAGGGAUCGAAUCCGAAACCUCAGGGUUCCUAGUCAGAUUCGUUUCUGCUGUGCCAUGACGGGAACUCUGAGAGGGAUUUUCAUUAUUUAUAUUUCCCUGGUGUGCAGUGAACACCGUGUCCCACAGGGCCAUGUUAGGAAUACCAGAUUUGAUCAAGGGGAGGCCUAGGUCAGAUCCUUGAUUGGGCAAGAGGGGCUACAGUCCUGCAGCCCACAGAAGGGAGACCACAGAUACACAAAGCCAGACAAAAUGAAACAGCACAGUGAUAUGUUCCAGACAGUGGAACAAAAGAAAACUCCAGAAGAACAAGUAAGUGAAGUGGAGAUAGGCAAGCUACAUGAAAAGUCAGAGUAACCAGAGUAAGGAUCAUCCAAGAUCCCGGGGCGGGGAGAGGCACAGAUUGAAGGAUUUCUAGGCUUUCAUCUGUAUUAGUGUGUUUAGUACUGUUGACCCGUUGUCGUUCAGAAGCUGUGUGGUCGAGUGAGGCUCUUGCUGAUUGACCAUUGCAUAGGGGCCUAGGGCUGUCACUGACUGGAUGUCUUUCAGGACCUGGUGGGGUGCAAUAGUCUAUUACUGUUUGGUCGAAUUUCAAAAGCUUGUUCCUAUCAAUGAUUUGCUAACUUCUAGAAGCUUAGUUUCUCUGUUGAGGCUCCCAUUGACUUGAUGAAUUUCAGAACACAUGUACUGAUCAGAAAUUAUCUCUUCUAAACAAUGGUUAUUUGUUCACAACUUUGGAUUGUGGCCAAGUGAAAAAUCUUUUCCCUUUCCUGAGUAUGAAGAAUAAGACCUUUAAUUCUCAGUGUCCUGUUUUGGUUUUCCCUUAGCCAAGCCGGAGGGAAACCAUGAGGCACUGGCCAAAUCUAACUGCCAAGUUUUUGGAAAGCAUUACAAAAAGCUGCGAAUAGGAUGUUUUCAUUGUGCUGACAAAGUCAAUGCAGGACCCAGGGAAAAAAUCUUGAAAUACAUGACGUGUGCCGUGUAUACAGAACGGCUGUCAAGCCUACUCCUAAUCUGUUCCGUGCACGUACCAUUGUGACUGAAAGCCAGUAGGUGCUCAUGGUACAUUUGUCAGGGCAGUGAACACACACCACAGCAUAGCUUCCUUAUUCGUUUUCAACUUUCUAGCAAAUCUGAAUUUUUGUCCUCACCUCUCCUGCCAAGCAGUUAGUUGGCAAUGUUUUCAGGCCUGUGAAGGAAUCACAUUUUGAAGAACUGUAUGCUUCAUGUGGGAACUACAGUACCCAGAAGCCACAGCUUGCUCCAUUUUGUAGUCCAGGUGAACACAUUUCAGGUGCUUCUGGAAUGAAUCUGUGUCUCGAAGGCUGUAGUCCCAACAAUCCCCAGAUACAUGCUGCUUUAGUUCAUCAGGUCUUCGUUUCUAAAAUUUUGAUUAGUACUCAUAACACAUAAAAGUAUUAUGUAAUUGACUGUGUUGUCAUUAAUGUUUACUUUCCAUCUCCUUUGACUGGAAUGACUGCGUCAUAAGGGCAGAGGGGUCUUGACUCUUUGGAUCUCGAUGUGUCCUGUGCAGCCAGAUUGGUGCCUUGAAUGGGGAAGGCACCUAAUGAGUGUUUGCUAAGGAGGGGAUAAAUAGGAGGCCACAGAUGCCCUGUUUGUUUUUAGUGUUCUGGCAAAGCUGUCUGCUCUCUUUACAUUUCCCCUUAAACUAAAAUAAGAAGAUAUAAAUCAAUAAUAAAUCACAAUUUUGAGAGCCUUCGUCACUACCAGCUCAGCUUCAUUUCCUCACUUCUUAGACUUCUGCGUCCCUUCAAACUUCACUGAGAGCCUAACCUUCUUUAAAUAACUAAAUAAUGAUUGAUUUCAGCAAUUUCAACAUUUCGUAAUUUUUUUUUCUGAGAUAAUCUCACCUCUCCAUGCACUGUCACUGUAUUUGCAGUUGAAAUGGUAUUAACUCCCCAGCAGGGAAGGGAGAUCACGGGGAGUUCUCCUCAUGGCUCAGCGGUUAAUAAACCUAACUAGGAUCCAUGACCCCUGACCUCACUCAGUGGGUUAAGGAUCCGGCGUUGCUGUGAGCUGUGGUGUAGGUCACAGAUGUGGCUCAGAUCCUGCGUUGCUGUGGCCGUGGCUUAGGCCAGCACCUGUAGCUCCAAUUUGACCCCUAGCCUGGGAACGUCCAUAUGUCGCGCAGGUGCGGCCCUUAAAAAAAA